AUUUUGGUUCCUUCCUGGCCCAGAGCGAGCCACCGGUGGUCCACAGCUCCUCCAGCGCGGGACUGUCCCUGGCAUUUGCGGUCAACAGUCUUCCCAGGAGCUGUUAAAGCCUGGCACUUAUAUAAGAUGGAACCUGGUACUAUCCACACUGCUCCAGGGUCUCCCCAGCAAAGGGCAGGGACCUUGUCACCGUGGUGUAUAGGACCACCCCCAGGCUCCAAACAUCAGCUUUGAAUCCAUCGUGUUCUUCCUCCAGGAACACUUCUGGGUCACAGUAUUCAGGAGUCUCACAAAACACACUAAGCUGUUGUCACUCAGUGACCCUGCAGCUCAGCCCAAAGUCAGGCCAAACUUAAUGUACAACGUAUCCUCAGCAGCUUUUCCAGAUUCAAGUCUCUAUGUCCAUUGCCGUUCUUGUGCCACUGUGCGCAGUUGACGACGUCUGGCUGAACGUCAGACAUGCCGCCCGCUCCCGCCGGCUGCCAGGCCAGGGAGCACAGCCGCUCGUCCUGCUGGCCUAUUGAGCAGGUGCGCUGUCUGCCGUGUGCUGCGCCGCUAGGGGCCCCAUGAUGUCGGGUGAUGCAUGCCCUUCAUGAUAACCACUUCUCCCUGCAGUGCCCCCAAGCCGGAGAGAGCCCUUGCCUCCUGACGUCCCGGGAUCGUCUCUACUGCCACAUUCUUUCCCGUUCCCAGGUGCUGGGCUGCCUUGCCCCAGCAGAAGCUACCUUGGCCAAUGGUCCUAAGGCCCCUGUAAAGAUCAUGGAGAACCUCUCCCUUACAAACAAGGCCCUCCAUCCUGGUUCCCGUCCAACUAGGAACACUACUAAUGGCAGCUGAUGAACUACAUUAUUAUAUCUAAUGAAACAAAUGAAUAUCAGCAAUGCUAACUCUAACUAAUACUAACUAUAUUCACUACACAGCAAUACUAAGUGGUAAGACUAAGUGCUAACUAAAAUUUUAAAAAUGAACAAACUGCCAAGAAACAUAAAUCUCCCUAUAUUAACUACACUAACAGUGCUGUCUAAAGAUUAACAAUGGGGCCGGCGCUGCGGCUCACUAGGCUAAUCCUCCGCCUUGUGGCGCCGGCACACCGGGUUCUAGUCCCGGUUGCCCCUCUUCCAGGCCAGCUCUCUGCUGUGGCCCAGGAGUGCAGCAGAGGAUGGCCCAAGUCCUUGGGCCCUGCACCCCCAUGGGAGACCAGGAUAAGCACCUGGCUCCUGCCUUCAGAUCAGUGCAGUGCACCGGCCGCAGUGCGUUGGCUGGAGUGCGCCGGCCACGGCGGCCAUUGGAGGGUGAACCAACGGCAAAGGAAGACCUUUCUCUCUGUCUCUCUCUCUCUCACUGUCCACUCUGUCUGUCAAAAACAAAACAAAACAAAAAAAAGAUUAACAAUGGGGCAAAAAUGAACUGAAAAAAAUACAGAGGGAACAAAAUCUAAAAUUAAAAAAAUAGGGAAAAGAGCAAGUAAAAUAGACCAACAAGCAAGGGGGGAAAUACUAGCUCAGUCUAAGUUCAACAGGUUACCAAAAACAGCCUCCCGAGUAACACAUAACAUCCUAGACCAAGCAAGGGACUUACAUAGGCAUCUGGAAUUACAAAAUGAGAUCUCCAGAUGAAGUUUGAGCAAGAAAUGAACUCAUGACAGCCAAGCCAAAAUUAUAGGCAUUUGUAAUUUUGUAACAGUGGCUUCUUGUGAAAUAGCAGGACAUGGACUGAGUUCAGCCCAGCCAGAAACUCAUAUGCAUUUGCAUUUUUUUUAAUUGAGCAAGAAAGGAGCCAAUCACAGCUGCAAAUAAUCCACAGGAAUUUUUUCUCGAGAAUCUUUCCACUUGAAUGAAAAGGCCUCCAAAAGCUCCUUGUUAAGGUUGAUGAUAGGGAAUGUUUCCUUUUGGGUAAAGCUAAAAACACACUUGAUGUUUUCCAUAGCCUUUUUAUUUCUAGUUUAAAAAUAAGUUUUGGCUUUUGAAGAUCUCCUUAUGUCUACUCCGUCCAAUUCAACAAGUAAAUCAAGCUUGCUUGUGAAUACAAGAAACUGGCGUUGAGGGAGCCGAACUAGAGUAUCUGUCCAACUCAACAAGUAAAUGGUGCUUGCUUGUGAAUACAAGAAACGCGUUGAGAGAGCCGACUGAAGUUGCAAAGUAAUUUGGCCCUCCCAAGUCAGUAUGACCUCAGAGGAUUAAAUUUACUGAAACAGAAUCUAACGGGGUACAAAUAACUGAUGGAACAGGAAGCAUGGGCUCUACGCUGAGUGAGGUUCGUCCUGGUCAAUGAAACGCUGGGCUCUCAACACAAUACUUCGCCUCUUUCAGACUCCAGUCAAAUAACAGUUUGUAGCUGGUUCGUUGUGCCCACCAAGUAAGUUUUUCAAGAAACUUGUCUGAGAUUGAUAAAAUACCUGGUUAUCAGACCUGCAACUAGUUUUAGCACCUGAUCUUCUACUCCUGACUUGCCAUUACCCAUGUGCUCAGCGCUCAUGUCCCUUUGGCACUGCUCAAAAGCUGCCCUCACUAUGCAGGACUAUAGUACUCCAGACCCUCAGUCUGCUGUCGCACUAACUCACUAGUGGAUCAAAUCUUGUCUUCAAACCUUGACCUUGAUAUUCUGGUUCGGCACCAUGGACAAAGACUGGACUUUCAGUAACAAGUGUGGCGUUCGGCCAGCCAGGAGUUGGCUAUCACACCUGGUGGUGUGCAGACCACUAGUGACUUCCAAUGGAUGGUGCGAUUGACUGUAACAGCAUACCAGGGCUAACCUGUUCAUGCUGCCUAAGUGGUGAGGGGAUGACCAAGUCUCCAUCUGCAGGAUUUCUGCCUUCUAGUGGGGAGAAUGAGGAUAGUCCCAGCAGCAGACUGAGUCAUUUUGUCUCUGUGGAGCUGCCUUCUCUUCCUGGUAUCAGUAAACAUAAGGACAUGGUAUCCACAGUAUCUACACUGCUAAGCUUUUUGACAAAAAGGAAACAGUUUGUGCAAAAGGCAAUGACAACAAGGCCAUCUGGAAUUUUUUUGAGAAUCAAGGUUUCAAAUUAAGUCCUUUGACCAUGGGAUUUCCAACUGGGCCUCUGGGAAUUCUACAGAACUUGUCAUCCGCGGUUCUGGUUUUUUCCCUGGAAACACAAUCAAGGAAGCCUCUAACAGAUAUUUGGGAACACUGGUUCCUGACAAAGGGUCGAUGGACUAACUAAAAUUUUCAAGAACUCUGAGAAGGAACCCAAGCAAUUCAUGAAACUUCUAAUGAAGAUCAAACAAGUGUUGACAUCCCAUUUGGACACAAGUUUGUGCCUUGGCUGCUCCACUUCUGAUUCAGCUCCCUGCUACUGCGCCUGAGAAAGAAGAAGAUGGUCCAAUAUUUGGGCCCCUGGCAGCCCCUGGAAGACCAGAUUUGGAGUUCUUGGCUCCUGGUUUCCAAGUGGCCCAUUCUGGGCUGAAUCAACAGACUCUCUCUCUCUCUCUCUGUCUCUUCUCUCUAACUCAUAUCAUUGUAAAAAUUUAAGAAACAAUGAGGAAGGAGGAGGAAGGGUAAGGUGGGAAAUGUCAUGUUUUCUAGACUGUGUAUAUGAAAUUUGUUCCCUUUCAAUAAAUAAGAAAAAAAGACAUUCCCCUGCAUAACUUUUAACACAACCUUAAAUAUAGAAGUUUCAGAACACUAACAUUACUACCAUCCAAUUAACCUCACUUAUUUCAUCAAUUGGACCAAUACUCUCCCAAUAAUAAAAUAGUUCAUGUCUAUA